GGAGUAAUGUCCAAUACAGGCAUCUGAUGUCUGAUGGUGAAGAUGGUGUACGGUGGUGUAUGAUGGUUGAAGUGUGUCAGAUGGUUGUCAGAUGGUGUAUGAUGGUGUAUGAUGGUCGAAGUGUGUCAGAUGGUUGUCAGAUGGUGUAUGAUGGUGUAUGAUGGUCGAAGUGCGUCAGAUGGUUGUCGGAUGGUGUAUGAUGGUGUAGGGUGGUUAUACAGGGAAGGGUUGUCAGAUGGUGAAGAUGGUACAGAUGGUGUAUGAUGGUCGAAGUGUGGCAGAUGGUUGUCAGAUAGUGUAUGAUGGUGUAUGAUGGUCGAAGUGUGUCAGAUGGUUGUCGGAUGGUGUAUGAUGGUGUAGGGUGGUUAUACAGGGAAGGGUUGUCAGAUGGUGAAGAUGGUACAGAUGGUGUAUGAUGGUCGAAAUGUGUCAGAUGGUUGUCAGAUGGUGUAUGAUGGUGUAGGGUGGUUAUACAGGGAAACGUUGUCAGAUGGUGAAGAUGGUACAGAUGGUGUAUGAUGGUCGAAAUGUGUCGGAUGGUUGUCAGAUGGUGUAUGAUGGUGUAUGGUGGUCGAAAUGUGUCAGAUGGUUGUCAGAUGGUGUAUGAUGGUGUAUGAUGGUGUAUGAUGGUCGAAGUGUGUUAGAUGGUUGUCAGAUGGUGUAUGAUGGUGUAGGGUGGUUAUACAGGGAAGGGUUGUCAGAUGGUGAAGAUGGUACAGAUGGUGUAUGAUGGUCGAAAUGUGUCGGAUGGUUGUCAGAUGGUGUAUGAUGGUGUAGGGUGGUUAUACAGGGAAGGGUUGUCAAAUGGUGAAGAUGGUACAGAUGGUGUAUGAUGGUCGAAAUGUGUCGGAUGGUUGUCAGAUGGUGUAUGAUGGUGUAUGAUGGUCGAAAUGUGUCAGAUGGUUGCAGAUGGUGUAUGAUGGUGUAUGAUGGUCGAAGUGUGUCAGAAGGUUGUCAGAUGGUGUAUGAUGGUGUAGGGUGGUUAUACAGGGAAGGGUUGUCAGAUGGUGAAGAUGGUACAGAUGGU